rfam:Lepisosteus oculatus unplaced genomic scaffold TNK11, whole genome shotgun sequence.
AGUAAUCCUGCAGAAGAUCCGCAGAUUCAGACAUGUGGUAUUUGGUCUUGGCUGAGGAGCCAGUGGUGUGAAGCUGCCUUCUGUUGGAUUAUGACUGAAGGUCUCUGAGUCACAAUCUCCCCU